UUUGCACGUCGCUUCCGGUCUGUUGAAAAUGGCAUUUUACACUCGGUGCUUGCUGGGCUUUCCCAAGGUAAUGUUAAUGAUGUGCCUCGAUCCAAACCCCAACAAGUAACCUGGAGAAAGGUUUUAAGAUGUACGCCUCGUUAUAUAUUCGAAGGUGUCACUGUAACUCAAAGCAGAAGCAAGAAAGCCGCAUUUCGCUCAUGCGGAUAUGACGUCAGCGCCGGACGUGCAAAUAGCCCAUUGGGACCGGGCUCGUGAGUGACAGAUUUCUGCUACCCUGCACUGUUUCAUCAACGGAGCCUACAAUGAUUGCUAAGGCUAGUUAGCAUGGCCACCAAUGACAGUGGAUAAAUAGUUCUCCUGGAAAGGCCAAUUGUUUCUAUGUCAUGAACACAUUUUUUUUACAGAUCACCUGUCCCAUACAAUUACCACAUGGUGACAGUUUUAACAAAUAUGCAAAAAAAAAAAAAAACCCACCAACAUAUUUUUGUAAAAGUUGCAUACUGCAGCUUUUGUUUCUAUAAUUACUUUUGCACCUGAAAAUGAAAAGCUACCUUUACAUUUCUAACCGUCAGCUCUUCCCUGCUGUAUUAUUCAUGCCUCUGGUUCUGAAUAGAUUCUUAUUUCCAUUUGGUAUCUUCCAAAUGUAUACAGAUUAACCAAAGUAUUCCCUGUUUGUUGGGUUGUGCCCAUUCCUCCCAAUUGUUUAUUUAAGAUAGUAGGGCAAAUUAAUUGUGUUUGAUUGGCAUUAACAUAGCCAAAUAAAAAUUUGAAUUUGGUAAUAUC